AGCCUUUAUGUCAUCAAUUACCAGUCUUACACAUGCAAGUAUCAGCACACCCGUGAAAACGCCCUUAACUCCUACAACAGGAACAGGAGCUGGUAUCAGGCACAAUUAUUAAGCCCACAACACCUAGCUACGCCACGCCCAUAAGGGUAUUCAGCAGUGAUAAACAUUGAUUAUAAGCGUCAGCUUGAAUCAGCCAUGGUAAAGAGGGCCGGCAAAUCCGGUGCCAGCCGCCGCGGCUACACCGUUAGGCCCAAGUUGACACACGCCGGCGUUAAGCGUGAUUAAAGUGAUCUGCUAAUUAGAGUUAAACCAAAAUUUAGUCGUGAUGCGCUUAUUUUAUGGAAACCCAAAAACGAAAGUUACUCUAAUCUACCCACUUGACUCCACGACAGCUAGGGCACAAACUGGGAUUAGGUACCCCACUAUGCCUAGCCGUAAAAUAUAUAUUCACACUACAAAUCGCCAGGGAAUUACGAGCCCAAGCUUAAAACCCAAAGGACUUGACGGUGUCCCACCCACCUAGAGGAGCCUGUUCUAUAAUCGAUUCUCCCCGAUAAACCUCACCACUUCUAGCUACUCAGCCUGUAUACCUCCGUCGUAAGCUCACCAUGUGAACGAAAUCAGUGGGCCCAAGGAUCACUCAUCANUACGUCAGGUCAAGGUGCAGCUCACGAACUGGGAAGAAAUGGGYWMMAUUUMUACAAUAGAACAAACGAAAGACUACAUGAAACAUAGUCACUGAAGGCGGAUUUAGUAGUAAAAAGAAAAUAGAGAGUCCUUUUUAACAAGGCGCUGGGACGCGUACACACCGCCCGUCACCCUCUUCAAAUGC
rnacentral:ncRNA from 1 species